rnacentral:tRNA from 2 species
GUACCAGCCGGUGAGGUGGAGCGCCGGCGCCGUGAUCGCCGGAUACGACUCACGGGGGGCGGCCCGCCGCCAGUACGGGUCCCCGGCCUGGUGCCC